CUUUGCCAACAGAUCCCCACCCCUCAUCGAGACUCUCUCACUCUCAACUCUUACAGUCACUCUCAUCGAUUUAUGGCAAUCUCCCCUCGCUACGCCAUUUUGAGGAUUUGAGGAGAAGAGCUCAGAUCCCCACCCUCGCUGCGCCAUUUUGAGCAUUUGAGGAUUUGAUGGUGACUCCCUUGGCGCUCACCGUCUGUCACGGAGGGAGCGCCGAAGCUUCUCCUGAAAGAGAAGGAUUCAGAAGGCGGAGAAGGUGGAAACGAACAAGGACAACAAGGGAAGGUGUCAGAGGGAGAAGAAUGAGCUAGCGAAUCGCCUUGUGAAACUGAGUCGCACCGCAGCGUGAGAUAAACCUCCGAAGGGGUCGAAUUCAAGAACCCUAGCUGCUGAAUCCCCUGUUGUGAACAAUUGGAGUGAUGGUACGAGUUGGUUUCAAUGAGUAUUUGCAUUUUUUUUAAUCUUCAAAAAUCUCAAUGAGUGAUUUCUUUGUGGUGAAAUGGUCCGGUUGGGGAGCCCUGCUACGCCGAAUAUGGAUGUCAAAGCUGAAAGUAAGCCGAGGAUAAACUAAAUUCAACAUGGAGAGAAGCUUUUAUGAAGGCAUAUAAGUCUAUGGACAAAGAGCUCAGGUCUCAUCUGAAUUCGGACUGCUUUUGUAGUGGGAGCAUGGCUGUCACUAUAGUGAAGCAGGGAGUCUCGAGUAGUGAUGGGAUCCAAGGACUUGAAAUCUUUGACUAAUGCUAGUGCUUAUUGUAAGGCAGAGAGUGGUUGGCACAAGGAAGAUGAAAUCCUUGAUGACAGUUGGGUUCAGCAAAGUAGAAAGAAAGGGCCAGCUACCUCGCAUCUCAAUGGAUUGAAUUGGGAGGUGCUUGUUGUUAAUGAGUUGGAUGUCAAUGCCUUUUGGCUACCUGGUGGUAAGAUUGUUGUAUACACCGGAUUGUUAGAGCAUUUUAAAAGUGAUGCUGAGAUUGCCACUAUUAUUAGACAUGAGGUUGGUCAUGCUUUGGCCCGACACACCGCUGAAUAUAUGACAAAGAACUUGUGGUUUGCUAUCCUGUAGUUUAUUCUUUAUCGAUUUGUCAAAUUUUAAAAUGAUCUCUCAGGAACAUGCAAACAGCAGUUGGGGUUUCUGGUGGUGAAGCAUACACUGAUGGGAUUACUGCGCCUCCUCUGAUAAAUGAUAAUGUUGGAGAUAGUGGUCUUCCUAUAAUUUCUAGUCUGAAUUGCCCACCAUUUAUAGCAGUAGAGCAGUGCCGAGAGCAUUUAGUAUGUAAUGAGAGGACAUUUAUUACACAUUGAACCUGCAAUAUACUUUUACCUCCCCUUCUUUAAUUUCAUGUAGUUUUUGUGUAACGUUUCUGUGCUUUAUUCUUGUAACUCAGUGAGUUCAUCCUUGUGAUAAGAGAAGAAGCAUCACUGAGUAUCGGAAUAUAUUUAAUUUCCAGCUAUUAAUUUUUCACUGGUAGGUGAUUUAUUUUGUUUGGCUGAUGUUAUGGACUAGCGUGUACUAAAUUUUGUUAGGAGACACUUCUUGCAAUAAGUUGGUUGAAAUUUGAUUAGUUGACUGAAAUUCAUGUUUGGUAAUUUAGAUAGAAAGUUAUGAAAACAUCUUGUGGAAACUUGACAUUAGAGAGACGAAUGAAGAAGUUGUUGCCAGGGGACUGAAGUUUUUUGAAUGGUUGUGGAAGCGUAAAGAGAAAGAGAUAGCUGUUGUUUCUCACAGCGGUUUUCUGUUUCAUGCCCUAAGUUCUUUUCGAAAUGAUUGCCAUCCAACUAUAAAGAGUGAAAUCUGCACACAGUGAAAAAGUUCACAAAUGUUUCCAAAACAAUUAUGUAUGAUCUAAGAGAAAGAAGUUUAAGAGGGCUAGAAGAAGGAGGAACAGCAAAGGACUUAGGAUUUAAGUUGUAUUGUUUUUGUAUUUUUCCUGAGUUUUUAGUUUUGGAAUUUGAAUUCGAGAUUUAUUUUGUAUUUGAGUAUUAGUUUUUUAAUGUAUAAAAUAAUUAUAGCAAAAAUUAUGUAUGUCACUAAUUAUUGUUUGAUUUGUCUUGUAAUAAAAAUUGCAUACUAUAUUUAUAA